AGAGUUUGAUCAUGGCUCAGGAUGAACGCUGGCGGUAUGCCUAACACAUGCAAGUCGAACGAUGUCUUCGGACAUAGUGGCGGACGGGUGAGUAACGCGUGAGAAUCUGCCUCUAGGAUGGGGAUAACGGUUGGAAACGACCGCUAACACCCAAUAUGCCGUAAGGUGAAAAAUUUAUUGCCUGGAGAGGAGCUCGCGUCUGAUUAGCUAGUUGGUGGGGUAAGAGCUCACCAAGGCUUCGAUCAGUAGCUGGUCUGAGAGGAUGAGCAGCCACACUGGGACUGAGACACGGCCCAGACUCCUACGGGAGGCAGCAGUGGGGAAUUUUCCGCAAUGGGCGAAAGCCUGACGGAGCAAUACCGCGUGAGGGAGGAAUGCCUUUGGGUUGUAAACCUCUUUUCUCAGGGAAGAAGAUCUGACGGUACCUGAGGAAUAAGUAUCGGCUAACUCCGUGCCAGCAGCCGCGGUAAUACGGAGGAUGCAAGCGUUAUCCGGAAUCAUUGGGCGUAAAGCGUCCGCAGGUGGUUUCCAAAGUCUGCUGUUAAAGACUGGAGCUCAACUCCGGAACGGCGGUGGAAACUUGGAAACUAGAGUUCGGUAGGGGUAGCAGGAAUUCCCAGUGUAGCGGUGAAAUGCGUAGAUAUUGGGAAGAACAUCGGUGGCGAANGCGUGCUACUGGACCGUAACUGACACUCAGGGACGAAAGCUAGGGGAGCGAAAGGGAUUAGAUACCCCUGUAGUCCUAGCUGUAAACGAUGGAAACUAGGUGUGGCUUGUAUCGACCCGA
rnacentral:rRNA from 1 species